rnacentral:rRNA from 1 species
UACGGAGGGUGCGAGCGUUGUCCGGAAUCACUGGGCGUAAAGGGCGCGUAGGUGGCGCGAGAAGUCAACGGUGAAAGCUCGUCGCUCAACGACGAGUCGGCCGUCGAUACUCUCGCGCUGGAGCAUUGUAGAGGCUCAUGGAAUUCCGGGUGUAGCGGUGGAAUGCGUAGAGAUCCGGAAGAACACCGGUGGCGAAGGCGGCAUCCUGGGCCGACACUGACGCUGAGGAGCGAAAGCCAGGGGAGCAAACGGG